GUAAGCUUUUUUUUUUUUUCUUGCAGGAUAGAAAUAUAUCAAAGUAAAUGCAAUCUGCAUAGUUAAUGUUUGUGAGCUUUACAAUUUAAAACAGAAAAGCUGUAAUUUUUCUUUGCUGGCAAUCUGGAAACACUCUGGAGUUAAUUACAGCUGAUUCGGAGUGAACCACACAAACAAAGACCAGUCUAUGUCCAGACAAUUAUACUGCAUUAACCAGCUUAGAGCUUCCUGCUGAUGUUUCAGGGCUCUUCUGUUACACCCUUCUACCUUCCCAGCACGAGAGAAAAUGCUUCUGCAAGAAGGAUUUAAUGAAGAGAACUGCAAAAGAAUGUGUGACGACCUCUCCUGACAUGGCAAAAACUUUCCACCCAUGUCAUGACAAAGGGGAGAAGUUUCUGUACAAAAGCCUAGCACUGGUGGUGAAACUAAGGCACACAUGCUGCAGCGAGCUAUAUCAUUAAAAACUGUAAAAGGUUCGUCAUCACUGGCCUAGAGCAUGUCUCCAGAAAUGUGCCCAUGCUUGUGACCUCUACCACUCCAUUUUCCAAUGAAUUCUGUUAUGCUAAGGAUUUGUAUACAGUG
rnacentral:lncRNA from 1 species